UGACAUAAAAAAUAAAAUGACAGUUAAAUUUGAGGUUAAUGUUGUUUUGUAGGAUAUUGGUAAAUUAGAGUAAACAAGAAGUAGUUAAAUGAGUAAAAUAGAAUAAGUGAAUGUGAGAUUGUGUUAAAGUUAAGGAGAUAAUAAUAAUAAAUAUUCAAAAAGGACAAUUCCCUGUUUUUGCUAACCACGUUCUGCGGACAUAAAACCACAGGUUAGGGGCCCCGUUUUAAAACUCACUGGAGAAAACUGGCCGAUGGAUCAAAGCAAAAACCAACAAACGGAGAGGAAUUAACAAAAUGGAUCAAGGAAGAUGCCAAAGCUCAGGAAAUAAUUGUUACAAGAAUAGAACAAGACCCAUUGACGCAUAUUUUAUCAUGUAACACAGCAAAGGAAAAUAGACAAAACUAAAAACAUUUAGCAAAGAUUCUUCAUUCUCGAAUUGGACAGUACGGUGAAUACCUUUAUAUCAAAAAUAGAAGAUAUAAAAACAAAGAUCCGCUUGGGAAUCUGUGCCAGUGGAUAAACAAAAUUUGAAAGAACUCACAUCCUUUGAAAACAAUAUUACUGCUUUAGCAACCACCACGACAGUGUUAUAUCUGCUCCAAGACAAAACCAUAUUACAAAAAAUUGCUUCCAUAGAAAGAAAAAUAAAGUAGAAUCAAAAAAUCUAAGAACAGGUCAAAAGUUCUUUGAAGCAUGCAAGAGAACAUGCCAUUCAGUACAGAGUUGCUGGUUUAAAAACAAAGGACGUGAAGGUAAUUCAUCAAAAUUAAACUUGGAAAAAGAUGUGACAAAUGCCUUCAA